rnacentral:lncRNA from 1 species
GGUGGGGGCGGGCGGGCAUCGCCUUUGCCUUAGGUGGGGGAGAUUUUUCUCCCUCUUCACCGCCUCGCCUUCCCUCUGUUUCGAAAGGUUCGGGAAAGUCCAAGUCAUAACAUAAAAAGUGUGCGUAUUCCCGGCCGCCGGCAGGACCUGUUCGCGGGGAAGUUCCUCUUGAACUUUCUCCGAGGACAGUUGUGCACCCUGCCCGGCGCUUCACGGGGUUCCCUGGCCGUCGUUGUCUUUGUGACACCAUUUCCUCUUUUAAAUUUUCAUUUCAUGGUCUAUAUUUUCCACUUCGUCAUUUUUCUGUAGCACUCAUUAGAACAAGCCCCGAAAGGGCGACUAAGGAAACGCACAGGCGAGGCAGGAAAGCAGGAAUUUUUUUUUUUUUUUAAUCUAAUGACUAUGACGGCUUGGCAAGAAAGAGUGCACGAUAGUGGACUGGAAAUCAGAGGUGGCUUCUCCUAUUGAUUAGUUAAGUGGGAUAACAAAAACCGACCUCAUUAUUAAAUAAGAUUUGCAGUAAGGACCACAUGGCAGAUGUUAGCGAUUGUGACUACUAUCUCUGGUAUCCAACUGUGUGGCCUGGGUAAGUCACUAUACACUCAGUCUGUUUCUUCACUUGGAAAAGAAAGGAAUUUGAGUAAGUACAAAGGAAAAUUUUGGCCGGGCGCGGUGGCUCACGCCUGUAAUCCCAGCACUUCGGAAGGCCCAGGCGGGCCUUUAGUAGGACGAAACCCCGUCUCUACUAAAAUACCAAAACAACAACAACAACAACAACAAAAAACCAGCCAGAUGUCGUGGCGGGACAGCUCUACUCCUAGCUCCUUGGGGGGCUGAGAGUGGGAGGAUCGCUUGAGCCCGGGAGGUCGAUCCCACAGUGAGCGGAGAUCAUGGCCACUGCACUCCAGGCUGGGCGACAAAGUGAGACCCUGUCUCAGAAAAAACACUAAAAUUUACUAGCACUUAACACUUUGCAAAGUGAGGCAACAUGAGCCACACCAAACCAGCAGAGCUGUUUUGAUUCCCAGAAUGUUUACAAAUCUUAAAACUUGUUGCCAAUAUUUAGAAAUCAAAAGAUUUCACAUAAGAAUCUGGAUUUUAGCUUUCUCUGGAAUCACUGGAAUAUUUGGUAACUCAUGGCAUAUUCCCAGAUGGCAACAAACUGUUGGGAAUAAACUGUGCUGCCCCUUUAGACGCCCAGCUGCUCCCUGGACCUGUCUUGGUCCAGCCCACUUCACUAGGUUGCAUGAUAUGUCUGGUCCCUGAAAGGCCAGUUCUCAGUGAAGGGAUACCACUUCAUCUAGGAGUGUUUUGGGAAUUUGUGGAGUUGGUGUUUGAGUUGUGUAAUGACUGAGGGCAUACUACCAGUCUUUUUUGUUUGUUUGUUUUCGUACGGAGUCUCGCUCAGUCGCCCAGGCUGGAGUGCAGUGGCGCGAUCUCGGUUCACUGCAAGCUCCACCUCCCGGGUUCACGCCAUUCUCCUGCCUCAGCCUCCCGAGUAGCUGGGACUACAGGUGCCCGCCACCACGCCCGGCUAAUUUUUUUUUUUUUUUGUAUUUUUAGUAGAAACGGGGUUUCACCGUGUUAGCCAGGAUGGUCUUGAUCUCCUGACCUCGUGAUCCGCCAGCCUCGGCCUCCCAAAGUGCUGGGAUUAGAGGCGUGAGCCACCACGCCCGGCCUGGUCUUGUUUGUUUGUUUGUUUUUGAGGCCAAGUCCUGCUCUGUCACCAAGCUGGAGUGCAGUGGCGCAAUCUCGGCUCACUGUAACCUCUGCCUACCGGGUUCAAGCGAUUUUCCUGCCUCAGCCUCCCAAGUAGCUGGGACUGCAGGGGCGUGGCGCCACACUUGGCUAAUUUUUGUACUUUUAGUAGAGACGGGGUUUCACCAUGUUCGCCAGGAUAGUCUCGAUCUCUCGACCUCGUGAUUCCCCCGCCUCGGCCUCUCAAAGUGUUGAGAUUACAGGCGUGAGCCACUGAGCCCGGCCCUACUAGUCUUUACUGGAUGCAUAGACAGGGAUGAAGAUAGUCUAGAAUAACAGCAUUGUCCCGAAUCCUUCAUGACUUUCCAAUGCUACUGGACAUUUAUGUAGGUGAAAAGUUUGUUUAUAAUGAUCAGGGCGUGGAACCGAAUUCCAUUUUGUAUAAAAACAUUAACUCUUUUUUGGGGGAACAGUUUCAACAUUUAUCAGGCAAGGUUAUUCUUCAGUAACAACCCCCAAAUCUCAAUGGCUUAACCUAAAAGCUGGUUUCUCAUCAUGCUACAUGUCAAUGUAGAUGGGGUGAGUACUCUGCCCAACUCAUUGUAGUCUCUCAGGACCCAGCCUGUUGGGAGUUUUGCAUAAAUAUUACAUGCUCCAGUCCUGCAUGACAAAGGUCACUUAUGCACAUUUCAUUGGUGAAAGCAAAUCACAUGGCCACGUUUAAUUUCUAGGGAGUUGGGAAGUUCAGACCUAUUUCUGUCUGGGAAAACCACAACUGGGAAUCUUUGUGAGCAGUGUAAUGACUACCAUAAGUGUACCCUAAAUUUUCCUGGAACGUAGCUAAAUUGAUUUGUUCAGAAUUACACGUGCAAAUGUCUAUGUUAUUUCAGUGGUAGUUGUGCCUCGUUUACAUAUUGAAAUAUAUCUCAUUUUAUAGUGCUUCGCUUUAUUGCUUUUUUAACAAAUUAAAGUUUUUGGCAGCCGGGCACGGUGGCUCACGCCUGUAAUCCCAGCACUCUGGGAGGCACAGGUGGGUGGAUCACCUGAGAUCAGGAGUUCGUGACCAGCGUGGCCGACAUGGCGAAACCCCGUCUCUACUAAAAACACAAAAAUUAGCCAGGCGUGGUGGUGGGAGCCUAUAAUCCCAGCUACUCUGGAGGCUGAGGCAGGAGAAUCGCUUGAACCUGGGAGGCAGAGGUUGCAGUGAGCCGAGAUCGAACCACUGCACUCCAGCCUGGGCGACAAGUGCAAAAAAAACUGCGUCUCAAAAAAAGAAAAAGUUGCUGUUGGCAACCCAACAGCACGUGCUUAUUUUGUGCCUCUGUUUCACAUUUUCGUAAUUCUCAAAAUAUUCUAAACUUUUAAACUACCCUUACAUCUGUUAUAUGAUUUGUGAUCUGUGAUCUUUGGUGUUACUAUUAUUAAUUGUUUUGGGGCACCACAAACUGCACCCAUAUAAGAUGGUAAACUUAAUUGAUAAAUGUUGUAUGUGUUCUUACUGCUCCACCAACCACGUGUUUCCUUCUCCCUUACCCUCUCCUCGGGCCUCCCUGUGCCCUGAGACACAAUAUUGAAAUUAGGCCAAUUAGGCCGUGGCUCAAACCUGUAAUCCCUGCACUUUGGGAGUCUAAGGUGGGCAGAUCACUUGCGAUCAGGAGUUCCAGGCCAACAUGGUGAAACCCUGUCUCUACUAAAAAUACAAAAUUAGCUGGGUGUGGUGGCAGGCACCUGUAAUACCAGCUACUGGGGAGGCUGAGGCACGAGAAUUGCUUGAACCUGGGAGGCGGAGGUUGCAGUGAGCUAAGAUUGCAUCACUGCACUCCAGCCUGGGCGAUAGAGUGAAACUCCAUCUCCAACCAAAAAAAAGAAAAGAAAAAGGAAAAGAAAUUAGGCCAAUUAAUAACCGUACAAUGGCCUCUGAGUGUUCAGGUAAAAGGAAGAGUUGCAUGUCUCUCUCUUUAUAUCAAAAGCUAGAAAUGAUUAAGCUUAAUGAGGUAGGCACGUCAAAAGCCGUGAUGGGCCAAAAGCUUGGCCUCUUGCACACAGUUAGCCAAGUUGUGAAUGCAAAGGAAAAGUUCUUGCUGGAAAUUAAAAGUGCUACUCUGGCCAGGUGUGGUGGCUCAUGCUUGUAAUCCCAGCACUUUGGAAUGCUGAGGCGGCCGAUCACAUGAGGCCAGGAGUUUGAGACCAGCCUGGCCAACAUGGUGAAAACCUGCCUUUACUAAAAAUACAAAAAUUAGCCAGGUGCAGUGCUGCGCCUGUAUUCUCAGCUGCUUGGAAGGCUGAGGCAUGAGAAUCGCUUGAACCAAGAAGCAGAGGUUGCAGUGAGCCAAGAUCAGGCCACUGCACUCCAGCCUGGGCAACAGAGCAAGACUCUGUCUCAAAAAAAAAAAAAAAAGUGAAACAGCCUUAUUUCUGAUAAGGAAAAAGUUUUGGUGGUCUGGAUAGAAGAUUAAAUCAACCACAACAUUCCCCUAAGUGAAAACGUAAUCCAGACCAAGGCCCUCAACAUCAAGGCAACACCCUCCACUGGCAAAAAGAUUAUGAUUCACUGAAGGCUCAGAUGGCCUUUAGCAUUUAAAAUUUUUUUUUUAAUUUUUAAUUUUUUUUUGCGAUGGAGUCUCGCUCUGUCACCAGGCUGGAGUGCAGUGGUGCCAUCUCUGCUCACUGCAGUCUCUGCAUCUUGGGUUCAAGUGAUUCUCCUGCCUCAACCUCCUAAGUAGCUGGGAUUAUAGGCGUGCGCCUCCAUGCCCAGCUAAUUUUUUGUAUUUUUGGUAGAGACAGGGUUUCACCAUGUUUGCCAGGAUGGUCUCGAUCUCCUGACCUCGUGAUCCGCCCACCUCAGCCUUCCAAAGUGCUGGGAUUACAGGAGUGAGCCACUGCGCCCGGCCAGCAUUUUUUAGUUAUAUAUAUAUAUUUUGAGACAGAGUCUUGCUGGGUUGCCCGAGCUGGAGUGCAGUGGUGCGAUCUCGGCUCACUGCAAACUGUGCCUCUUAGGCUCAAGUGAUUCCCCUGCCUUAGCCUUCUGAGUACCUGGGAUUACAGGUGUGCACCACCAUGUCCAGCUAAUUUUUGUAGUUUUAGUAGAGACGGUUUUUUUCCAUGUUGCUCAGGCUGGUCCUGAACUCCUGGACUCAAGCGAUCUGCCCGCCUCAACCUCCCAGAGUGCUAGUAUUACAGGCGGGCGUGAGCCACCGCACCUCGCUGUAAACCAUCUUUUUUUUUGAGACGGAGUCUUGCUGUCGCCCAGCCUGGAGUGCAAUAGUGCAAUCUCAGCUCACUGCAACCUCCGCCUCCUGGUUCAAGCGAUUCUCCACCCUCAGCCCGUAAACUGAGACUACAGGCACCUGCCGCCACACUCGGAAUUUUUUUAUUUUUAGUAGACACAGGGUUUUACCAUGUUGGCCAGGCUACUCUCUAACUCCUGACCUCAAGUGAUCUGUCCACCUCGGCCUCCCAAAGUGCUAGGAUUACAGGUGUCAGCCACCACGCCCAGCCAGUGAAAUCAUUUUCUGAACGAUGCUAUAUGAAGUUUUCUUGCCAAAAAUGUUUGCCUAGGCUGGGCACGGUGGCUCACGCCUAUAGUGUCAGCACUUUGGGAGGUUGUAGCGGACGGAUUUCUUUGAUUCAGGAGUAGAGACUAGCCUGGGCAACAUGGUGAAAACCUAUCUCUACAAAACACAAAAAUUAGCCAGGCGUGGUGGCUGGCACCUGUGAUCCCAGCUACUUGGGAGGCUGAGGCUGGAGGAUCGCUUGAGUCUGGGAAGUGGAGGUUGAAGUGAGCCAAGGUCGUGCCACUGCACUCCAGCCUGAGCAACAGAGCAAGACUCUGUCUCAAAAAAAAAAAAAAAAUUAAGUCUGAGGUAUGAUCAUGAAAAGCAAAAUGGUAAAAAAAAAAAAAAGUUUGCUUAAAAACACAUCAGGUAUCUGGAGCAGCACUGUCCAACAAAACCUUCUGAGGUGAUGGGAAUGUUUUUCAUUUGCACUGUCCAGUAAGAUAGCCAGUGGCCACAAGCAGCUACUGAGCACUUGACAUGUGGUUUGCAUGACUGAGGAGCUGAAUUUUACUUCAGUUCAAUUAAUUUAAAUUUAUAUGUGCCUGGUGACUACUGUACUGGCCAGCACAGCUUGAGAUCUAGCUUCCAGUUUGCAGAAAACGUAGAGGAGAAAGGAGGAAGUGAAAACAGCACCUGUUGUAAACCCCAAGAGACAACCCUGAUGAGAUCAGAGCAAUCUGCUGGGAAAGACAUUUUUUAAUUGGGGAACUUUGAAUAUGGGCUAGAUACUAGGUGAUAUUAUGGAAUUACUGUAAAUUCUGUUAGAUGUGAUAAUGGAUUGUGCUUGCAUAGGAAAAUUCCCUUCUUUUUAGGAGCUGCAUUAGUCUCUUAAGUAGCAGCAUGUCAGGAUGUCUAGACCUCACCUUAAAAUACUUCCAAAAAAUAAAAUAGAUGAUGCAAAAAUGGCAAAUUGUUGAAAACUUUUAAAUUUAGGUAAUGAGUAUAAAAGAGUUAUAUUCUGUUUACUUCUCUGAAUGUCUCAGUUUUCAUAAUAAAAAGUAAAAUGGGCCGGGCGCGGUGGCUCACACCUGUAAUCCCAGCACUUUGGGAGGCUGAGGCGGGCGGAUCAUGAGGUCAGGAGAUCGAGACCAUCCUGGAUAACACGGUGAAACCCCGUCUCUACUAAAAAUACAAAAAAAUAGCCGGGCAUGGCGGCAGGCGCCUGUAAUCCCAGCUACUCGGGAGGCUGAGGCAGGAGAAUGGUGUGAACCCGGGAGGCGGACCUUGCAGUGAGCCGAGAUCGUGCCACUGCACUCCAGCCUGGGUGACAGAGCGAGACUCCGUCUCAAAAAAAAAAAAAAAAGUAAAAAUGAUGGGCUGGGUACAGUGGCCUACGCCUAUUAUCCCAGCACUUUGGGAGGCCGAGGCAGGUGGAUCACGAGGUCAGGAGUUUGAGACCAGCCUGGCCAACAUGGUGAAACCCUGUCUCAAUUAAAAAUACGAAACUUAGCUGGGCAUGGUGGCUCACACCUGUAGUCCCAGCUUCUCAGGAGGCUGAGGCAGGAGAAUUGCUUGAGCCCAGGAGGCAGAGGUUGCAGUAAGCCAAGAUCGCACCACUGCACUCUCCAGACUGGGCGACAGAGCAAGACUUUCAUCUCAAAAAAAAAAAAAAAAAAAAAAAGGCCAGGCGCGGUGGUUCACGCCUGUAAUCCCAGCACUUUGCGAGGCCGAGGCGGCAGAUCAUGAGGUCAGGAGAUCGAGACCAUCCUGGCUAAUACAGUGAAACCCCGUCUUUACUAAAAAUACAAAAAGUUAGCCGGAUGUGGUGGCGGGCGCCUGUAGUCCCAGCUACUCCGGAGAGGCUGAGGCAGGAGAAUGUUGUGAACCCUGGAGGCGGAGCUUGCAGUGAGCCGUGAUGGCACCACUGCACUCCAGCCUGGGCAAGAGUGGGAGACUCCAUCGCAAAAAAACAAAAAGUAAAAAGAUGUAUAAAAAAGUGAGUCCAUAUGAAACAAGAAUCAAUGUUUCAUAAAUGGUGAAAAGCCCCUACAAAAACCUUGACUGAGAUUUUAUUUUGGAUAAUAAAAACAAAAAUUAUGAAAAUAAGUUUAUCUUAUAUAUAACAAAAUUUAGAAUAUGUUUGCAACUGUGUGCUAGUUUUUAGAACGAAUCAAGAAUGAACAAGUGUUGACUUUUGUGCAUAAUUUUUCUGGAAAAUUACAUGAUUCAAGAUAUCAUUCAUUUUACAUCUGACUCACGGUAGAGUCAGAAAGAGAGUCUAAAAAUAUUUAGACUUCAUUUUCCUCUCAAAGUCCUCUUUAAUUCUUUGGUAGUCAAUUUUUUGGUGUCUCUAUUUUCAUUUUAUUUACAUCUCUUUGGAUUUAGCUAGUCCUCAGCUAAUUGACCAAAAGUGGUAAAGUAAUUAUCCCAUUCACCAUGUUAUUAGUCAUUCUGGAUUUUUUUUUUUUUCGAGAUGGAGUCUCACUCUGUCGCCCAGGCUGGGGUGCAGUGGCGCAAUCUCGGCUCACUGCAAGCUCCACCUCCUGGGUUCACGCCAGUCUCCUGCCUCAGCCUCCUGAGUAGCUGGGACUACAGGCGCCAGCCACCACGCCCGGCUAUUUUUUGUGUUUUUAGUAGAGACGGGGUUUUACUGUGUUAGCCAGGAUGGUCUUGAUCUCCUGAUGUCGUGAUCCACCUGUCUCAGCCUCCCAACGUGCUGGGAUUACAGGCGUGAGCCACCGCACCUGGCCCAUUCUGGAUAUUUUUAUGGGAUAUCUCAUAGAAAAAGCCAUUUUAUGAUAUUGCUGUUCCCUUUAUAUUUUGAGCCUAAGCUCACUCUUCACUUUAAUUCAUUUUAAAUUUAUUGCUUUUUUCAAACCAUUCUAUUUUGAAGCUCCUGGUGAGUCAUCAGCGUUAAUUUCCUUCUGUUCACUUGUUGAUUGGUCCAUAACUCUGCUGACCUCGCCUGUCGGUGGCUUUGUAUGCCACUCGAGUGGGGCUUUAAUGUCACUUGUUGAUUCUGUGAAAUCUUGCAUUGUGUGUAAGAUUCACAAUUUAACCGUCCAAAUGACUGGCAUCCUAGACAUCUGAGAACGAGUGAGAGGCUGGCUGGCCAUUGGUAUGGGACAUGGGGAUCGAUGCUUUGGGGUUCAGCAGGGAGUAAAUUUUGAAUAGGGAUCAGUUUUUAAGUGGUUAAUUCAUUAGUGAAUAUGUUAUCAUUACGAAUACCUUUGCUUCUCCAAAUGGUCUUGUAGCUGCAGGGACUUGGGGAAAGUAUCUUCAGAUAAAGAGGACCCUGUCUAUCUUGAGUUUGGAACAUCAGAGCUUUUUGUGGUGGUUGUAACUAAAUGGGGUGUAGGUGCUAUUGCUAGGAUAAAUCAGAACAUGGCAGUUAUUUUAUGAAAAUAAUCUUGUAUUUAUUAAAGGACUUGCAAAAAAGUUAACCUGAGGAUUUGUGUAAUGUGUCUCUAAGAGAGAGCUGUCAUUACGUUGGUGAAGUGACCAAUCCUUUCCCUGUUUGGCACCUCAUACCAGCCACAGGGUAGUAAGAAUCUCAAGUGCAGCUGAACUCCUGCUUUCAGAGGAAAUACCGGGAGACAGUAUGAAAAGAAAGGUGGGCUUUACGCCCCUUCCAGUGGCUUCUACAACAAAAGACUUCCUGAUUUGGUGACAUUUUUCCAUGACACGUCAUAUUGAUUUGUCUUGUUCUCCUCUCUGCCCCACACCAUUUUAUUAUAAACAAAUCUGAGGCUGGGCGAGGUGGCUCACGCCUGUAAUCCCAGUACUUUGGGAGCCGAGGCGGGCAGAUUACGAGGUCAGGAGUUCAAGACCAGCCUGACCAACAUGGUGAAACCCCGUCUCUACUAAAAAUACAAAAAUUAGCUGGGCCUGGUGGCGCGUGCCUGUAAUCCCAGCUACUCAGGAGGCUGAGGUAGGAGAAUCGCUUGAACCUGGAAGGUGGAGGUUGCAGUGAGCUGAGAUCGCACCAUUGCACUCCAGCCUGGGCGACAGAGUGAGACUCCAUCUCAAAAAAAAAAAAAAAAAAAAAAAAUUGAAGAUAAGCCGGGUGCGGUGGCUCAUGCCUGCAAUCUCAGCACUUUGGGAGGCCAAGAUGGGUGAAUCACUUCAAGUCAGGAGUUUGAGACCAGCCUGGCCAACAUGGUGAAACCCCAUCUCUACUAAAAAUACAAAAAUUAGCUGGGCGUGGUGGCGCAUGCCUGUAAUCCCAGCUACUAGAGGGGCUGAGGCACAAAAAUCGCUUGAACCCGGGAGGUGGAGGUUCCAGCGAGUCUAGAUUGUGCCACUGCACUCCAGCCUGGGCAACAGAGCGAGACUCUGUCUCAAAAAAAAAAAAGAAAAUUGAACAGAGAUUAUAACACUUUUACCAUAUCUAUCCAUUUAUCAUUCCUAAUUUCAUCUAUUACUCUUACUCUUUGGUGUAUUUCAAAGGAAAUUCCAGACCCUAAUAGUUUAAAAAGCUUUUUGUUAUUUCAAUCCUACAGAAGAGUUACGAGAAUAAUACCUUUCUGUAAG